AGGCUAGGGACGAUGAGGGCGAC
rnacentral:piRNA from 1 species